rnacentral:sRNA from 1 species
UUAACAGCCCUAGGCAGCAAACUCCUCUGUUGCCUACAGCACAGGCAAAAGUAGUGCGAGCUUUGCAACUGGCAGCCUGCUAAUGUAUUUUGCUCCUGACCUGGUGGGAUUCACCUUCAGGAGUGAGAAGGGAGUUCAGUCUCCACAGUUCCUUCAGUCCUUGACCUCU